rnacentral:rRNA from 1 species
GAUGAACGCUGGCGGCGUUCCUAAUACAUGCAAGUCGAGCGAACAGACGAGGAGCUUGCUCCUCUGACGUUAGCGGCGGACGGGUGAGUAACACGUGGAUAACCUACCUAUAAGACUGGGAUAACUUCGGGAAACCGGAGCUAAUACCGGAUAAUAUAUUGAACCGCAUGGUUCAAUAGUGAAAGACGGUUUUGCUGUCACUUAUAGAUGGAUCCGCGCCGCAUUAGCUAGUUGGUAAGGUAACGGCUUACCAAGGCAACGAUGCGUAGCCGACCUGAGAGGGUGAUCGGCCACACUGGAACUGAGACACGGUCCAGACUCCUACGGGAGGCAGCAGUAGGGAAUCUUCCGCAAUGGGCGAAGGCCUGACGGAGCAACGCCGCGUGAGUGAUGAAGGUCUUCGGAUCGUAAAACUCUGUUAUUAGGGAAGAACAAAUGUGUAAGUAACUAUGCACGUCUUGACGGUACCUAAUCAGAAAGCCACGGCUAACUACGUG